GUUUCCGUAGUUAAGUGGUCAUCACGUUUGCCUCACACGCAAAAGGUCCCCAGUUCGAAACUGGGCGGAAACA
rnacentral:tRNA from 1 species